rnacentral:pre_miRNA from 1 species
UAUGUACUCCCUCCAUCCGGAAAUACUUGUCAUCAAAAUGGAUAAAAGGGAUGUAUCUAGAUGUAUUUUAGUUUUAGAUACAUCCCUUUUUGUCCAUUUUGAUGACAAGUAUUUUCUGACGGAGGGAGUAUAAU